rnacentral:pre_miRNA from 1 species
AGGAGGAACAUCCACAGUGGCAGCGGCCAGCUCUGCAGCCCUGGAGUCAGCCCCUGCAGUAACUCCUGAGUCCUCCGUCUGCAGGGCCUGGAGGCUCCGGGGCGGG